CAAGUCGAACGGUGAAGUCCCAGCUUGCUGGGAUGGAUCAGUGGCGAACGGGUGAGUAACACGUGAGCAACCUGCCCUCCACUUCGGGAUAAGCCUUGGAAACGGGGUCUAAUACCGGAUAUGAGCCUGCAUCGCAUGGUGUGGGUUGGAAAGUUUUUCGGUGGGGGAUGGGCUCGCGGCCUAUCAGCUUGUUGGUGGGGUGAUGGCCUACCAAGGCGUCGACGGGUAGCCGGCCUGAGAGGGCGACCGGCCACACUGGGACUGAGACACGGCCCAGACUCCUACGGGAGGCAGCAGUGGGGAAUAUUGCACAAUGGGCGAAAGCCUGAUGCAGCGACGCCGCGUGAGGGAUGACGGCCUUCGGGUUGUAAACCUCUUUCAGCAGGGAAGAAGCGCAAGUGACGGUACCUGCAGAAGAAGCGCCGGCUAACUACGUGCCAGCAGCCGCGGUAAUACGUAGGGCGCAAGCGUUGUCCGGAAUUAUUGGGCGUAAAGAGCUCGUAGGCGGUCUGUCGCGUCUGGUGUGAAAUCCCGAGGCUCAACCUCGGGCUUGCAUCGGGUACGGGCAGACUAGAGUGCGGUAGGGGAGACUGGAAUUCCUGGUGUAGCGGUGGAAUGCGCAGAUAUCAGGAGGAACACCGAUGGCGAAGGCAGGUCUCUGGGCCGCAACUGACGCUGAGGAGCGAAAGCAUGGGGAGCGAACAGGAUUAGAUACCCUGGUAGUCCAUGCCGUAAACGUUGGGCACUAGGG
rnacentral:rRNA from 1 species